rnacentral:snoRNA from 1 species
CAGCCUUUUAGCCUCGCUCAGUUUCUCGCAUUUCUAUCGGUAACUUCGAGCUGGCUAGUAGACAUCGCGAUGUGGCUUCAAUUUGAAUCCCUGUGUGAACUGUCUAUCUAGAAGGCUAGAGCAAGUUUGGAAACACUAGCGUUUUGAGUACGGUGCUUUCGUUGUUGAAAAUGCAUGGAAGUAUUGUAAUUAUAGGCUAUUACAUUC